rnacentral:rRNA from 1 species
GACGAACGCUGGCGGCGUGCCUAAUACAUGCAAGUUGAGCGCUGAAGGUUGGUACUUGUACCAACUGGAUGAGCAGCGAACGGGUGAGUAACGCGUGGGGAAUCUGCCUUUGAGCGGGGGACAACAUUUGGAAACGAAUGCUAAUACCGCAUAAAAACUUUAAACACAAGAUUUAAGAUUGAAAGAUGCAAUUGCAUCACUCAAAGAUGAUCCCGCGUUGUAUUAGCUAGUUGGUGAGGUAAAGGCUCACCCAGGCGAUGAUACAUAGCCGACCUGAGAGGGUGAUCGGCCACAUUGGGACUGAGACACGGCCCAAACUCCUACGGGAGGCAGCAGUAGGGAAUCUUCGGCCAUGGACGAAAGUCUGACCGAGCAACGCCGCGUGAGUGAAGAAGGUUUUCGGAUCGUAAAACUCUGUUGGUAGAGAAGAACGUUGGUGAGAGUGGAAAGCUCAUCAAGUGACGGUAACUACCCAGAAAGGGACGGCUAACUACGUG